GAAGAAAACAUGUUUACAUGUUCAUGACAUGAGGCAAUAAAGGACGUUUUUGACAUUUACAACAAAUAAUUGCAAUUUAUCGAUUAUAGAAUUGAGAAGAACGUCAGAACAUUAGACACUUUUUAUGGAAUAUUACAUUCACAUUAAGUGAUUAACCUUUAUAGAAAUGUACUUAAAUGUAAACGAGUAAAUAAUACGUUGCAUGACAUUGUAGGCCAGUAAGAUUAAAACAAGUAAUCCUUAUAGAAACAACAAUGUGCAACAUAUAAUAUUUAAAUGUCUAUCUUGUUUAUUCUUUCUCAUUUUUUUCCUUUCAUAUUAUAUAUAUUGAUAUAAUAUCCUCAUGGAAAAGUUUGUCCUAAUUGCACUGACUGCAUGUCAAAACAACCUGUAUAAGCUGUUUUUUUUUGUUUUUUUUU